rnacentral:rRNA from 1 species
AAUGAACGCUGGCGGCGCGCCUAAUACAUGCAAGUCGAGCGAGAAGACGUAGCAAUACGUUUGUAAAGCGGCGAACGGGUGAGGAAUACAUGGGUAACCUACCCUAGAGUGGGGAAUAACUAGCCGAAAGGUUAGCUAAUACCGCGUACGCUCCUUGGACUUCGGUUCAGGGAGGAAAGCGAUACCGAGGGUAUCGCGCUCUUGGAUGGGCUCAUGUCCUAUCAGCUUGUUGGUGAGGUAACGGCUCACCAAGGCUUCGACGGGUAGCUGGUCUGAGAGGACGAUCAGCCACACUGGCACUGCGACACGGGCCAGACUCCUACGGGAGGCAGCAGUAAGGAAUAUUGCGCAAUGGGCGAAAGCCUGACGCAGCGACGCCGCGUGGGGGAGUGAAGGUCUUCGG